AGAGUUUGAUCAUGGCUCAGAUUGAACGCUGGCGGUAGGCUUAACACAUGCAAGUCGUGCGAGAAAGUAUCUUCGGAUAUGAGUAGAGCGGCGGACGGGUGAGUAACGCGUAGGAAUCUACCUAGUAGAAGGGGAUAGCCCGAGGAAACUCGGAUUAAUACCGUAUACCUCCUUAGGGAGAAAGAGGGCCUCUCUUGAUGCUCUCGCUAUUAGAUGAGCCUGCGUAAGAUUAGCUUGUUGGUGAGGUAAUGGCUCACCAAGGCUACGAUCUUUAGCUGGUCUGAGAGGACGAUCAGCCACAUUGGGACUGAGACACGGCCCAGACUCCUACGGGAGGCAGCAGUGGGGAAUAUUGGACAAUGGGCGCAAGCCUGAUCCAGCCAUACCGCGUGUGUGAAGAAGGCCUUCGGGUUGUAAAGCACUUUAAGCAGGGAGAAAAAGUUAUAAGUUAAUACCUUAUAACCGUGAUGUUACCUGCAGAAUAAGCACCGGCUAAUUCCGUGCCAGCAGCCGCGGUAAUACGGAAGGUGCAAGCGUUAAUCGGAAUUACUGGGCGUAAAGCGCGCGUAGGUGGUUUGUUAAGUUGGGUGUGAAAGCCCUGGGCUCAACCUAGGAACUGCAUCCAAAACUAACUCACUAGAGUACGAUAGAGGGAGGUAGAAUUCAUAGUGUAGCGGUGGAAUGCGUAGAUAUUAUGAAGAAUACCGGUGGCGAAGGCGGCCUCCUGGAUCUGUACUGACACUGAGGUGCGAAAGCGUGGGUAGCGAACAGGAUUAGAUACCCUGGUAGUCCACGCCGUAAACGAUGACAACUAGCUGUUGGGAGACAAUGUCUUUCAGUGGCGCAGCUAACGUUUUAAGUUGUCCGCCUGGGGAGUACGGGCCGCAAG
rnacentral:rRNA from 1 species